rnacentral:lncRNA from 1 species
GAGGAAGGUGCCCCCAGGCUCCUAGGCUGUACUUUACAACACACCGAAUUUACGAGCGCUCCUCGUAGCAAGGUUCAAGGGGGGACAAGCCGAGGCAGCCCCGGGCGGGCUCCUCUCCAAAGCAAAAGCGGGCGGGAAGGGAAGGAGAGAGGAGGCGAAAAAGUUCGGACUUCUCUGCACGACCCNCGAUGACUGUAAACAUAAAAUAGGGUGUUGUUAACACGAUUAUCAGAGGUUACCUGCUUUGGAUUCUUACAAAUAAAUGUCUGCAGAUGAAGCUGGUCUUUGUGAAAGAGACUCAAAUUCAANUAAAUGUUAUACUGCNUGCGCAAAUUUGGGGGAUGUUACAGUUGAACACUAUUUCAAAA